rnacentral:lncRNA from 1 species
GUUGCUGUCCAGCAUAGGUUAGACUUGUCAUGCACACAGAUUCACACUUGAUAAAAGGAUCUUUUGUCAGACCCUACACCUUGACUUGGCAUCCAGAAUGACUGUCAGUCUGUUCUCAUCUUCAGAUGCCCUGCAUUCAUAUCAGGACAAAUACCACACCACCAUGCUGUCUUCUUGUGCUUGCCCUGAUUCCCUUGUUCGGCGAUUCUCGACGUCUGGGUCUGUCUCUGAGAGUUCACUGAAGGCACCGUGGAGUAAUUGCAUUUAGCCAGCACUCUCAGAGGAGGAAGAGAUGGAUAGAUGGCAUCACCGACUCAAUGGACAUAGUUUGAGUAAGCUACGGGAGUUGGUGGUGGAUACGGAAGCCUGGCGUGUUGCAGUCCAUGGGGUUGCAAAGAGAUGGACACAACUGAGCAACUAAACUGAGCAUUCUCAGAACAAUGUUUCCACCGAGAAACUGAAUGAUACUUCUCUGUUUGGGAAUUCCAUCAUUGCUCAUUGCAUAAGAUUCUACUUCCUACCACCAAGGACUUAAAGGCUAGAUACUUGCUUUUCCUGAAACUGAGUGACUAGUGUGUAUAUGUCUGCACUGAGACUCCAUAAAGACCUCAGGAGGUUUCCCAAGUGGCUCAGUGGUAAAAAAUCCACCUGCCAAUACGGGAGACACAAGUUUAAUCCCUGGAUUGGAAAGAUCCCCUGGAGUAGGAAAUGGUAACCCACUCCAGUAUUCCUGCCUGGAAAAUCCCAUUGACAGAGGAACCUGGUGGGCUACAGUCCAUGGGGCUGUAAAAGAGUCAGACAUGACUUACUGACUAAACAACAACAAAGACAUCAGGAAGGGUCCUGUGCGCCCUUUGAUGGCCUUGGCACUGAACCAGGCUGUCCCUUGGAAAACUUGGCUAUGAUUCUCCUCCCACUGUUUCCUUGGGUUUUGACCCAUUUUCUAAACUUGGAAGUUUAGCUUUCUCAUCCUCUCUGUCAGCUGCCCAGUGUCCUAUGAAUGAACCCCCUUUUUGCUUAAGUUAACCCAAAUUGGUUUCCUUCACAACCAAGAACCCCACAGUGAGAAUGUUAAACAGUAAUUGUGAUUGCUUGCUUAGUCACUGAGUCGUGUCUGACUCUUUGUGACCCCAUGGACUGAACUCCGCCAGGCUCCUCUGUCCAUGGGAUUCUCCAUGCAAAAAUAUUGGGAGGGGGGUUGCCAUGCCCUCCUCCAGGGGAUCUUCCCAAUUCUGGGAUCAGAGGCAGGUCUCCUGCGUUGCAGGCAGAUUCUUUACCAUCUGAGCCACCAGGGGAGCCCAAGAAUACUGGAGUG